AUAGCACAUUGAAACACCUAUUCUUGUCCGAUCACCGAAGAUAAGCAACGUUGAACCUGGUCAGCAUCUAGAUGGGUGACCGCUUGUGAAUACCAGGUGGUGUAAG